rnacentral:ncRNA from 1 species
AUAAAUGCAUCGAUUGGGAGAAGUAGUCAAUCAUGCCUUAUCAAAGAGAGCGAGCGGUGCUGUGAGUUUCGCAUAAGGCAAUUGAUGAAAUGCACCCAUGAGCUUCCCGAAGGAAUAAAGUAUUUCGGGACGGUAUGCUCCGUUAUCGGCAAAGCCAUUUAAGUGGUUAAGUAUAAAACGGAGUGGAACCGCAGUAUUUUAUUGCCUCUGUC